AUGAACGCUGGCGGCGUGCCUAAUACAUGCAAGUCGAGCGAACGGACGAGAAGCUUGCUUCUCUGAUGUUAGCGGCGGACGGGUGAGUAACACGUGGAUAACCUACCUAUAAGACUGGGAUAACUUCGGGAAACCGGAGCUAAUACCGGAUAAUAUUUUGAACCGCAUGGUUCAAAAGUGAAAGACGGUCUUGCUGUCACUUAUAGAUGGAUCCGCGCUGCAUUAGCUAGUUGGUAAGGUAACGGCUUACCAAGGCAACGAUACAUAGCCGACCUGAGAGGGUGAUCGGCCACACUGGAACUGAGACACGGUCCAGACUCCUACGGGAGGCAGCAGUAGGGAAUCUUCCGCAGUGGGCGAAAGCCUGACGGAGCAACGCCGCGUGAGUGAUGAAGGUCUUCGGAUCGUAAAACUCUGUUAUUAGGGAAGAACAUAUGUGUAAGUAACUGUGCACAUCUUGACGGUACCUAAUCAGAAAGCCACGGCUAACUACGU
rnacentral:rRNA from 1 species